rnacentral:lncRNA from 1 species
UAUCCCAGGCGACUUUGGCCGAGCUAAUGCACCGGAUAAUAAAAUAAGUAUCAUCCCCGCAACAAGUUUGGAUUGCAUGUAAAACCUUGGCAUUAUUCUUCCUCCAAACCAUAAAUUCCGCUUCACCAUCUUCUCGUCUAGGAGGUUCAAAGGUCUCUUCCACAACCUCCCAAAGAUCUUCAGCCAACAAGUAGGUUUUAAAGUGGAAACUCCAAUCUUCAUAAUUAUCAUGACUAAGAACUUUAAGAUUAGCAAUUACACUAGAAACAACUGUAGCUGCCAUGUUUAAUCUGCAAAUGUAAUCAAUUAUCCAAAGUGAUAUUAGGUCGAUUAAUUAAGAAAAUAAUGAAACAAAACAAUAUAACUAACUCACUCUGUUCGAUCGAGUAGUGGCAAUCUUCAAAAAUAAGUAAGCUGCAACUAUUAUCCAAUGAGCUUAAGUAAAUUCCCACUCUGUGCACUUAGAGUGACCACACUUCUGGUGUAUAUAUAGAUGUAUAGCAAAUGAGCAAUGAAAAAGGACAAGAGACUCGGAAGACUAUGCCACCAAAUACUCCAUUAAUUCGAGGCAGAUUCUCUGUCCUCCCACUUUUCGUGCCCUCUCCUGCCCUUCUGUUUUGUGUGGUCACGGUUAAGUCACGUCAACAUUUAAUAUUAUUUUUUUAUAAAGAUAAUAAGACAAAAAUGAAUAGUAAUAUAAAAUGUUGACGUGGCUUAACCGUGACCACACAAACAGAAGGGCACGGGAAGUGGGAAGGCAGAGAAUCUGCCACCCCAUUAAUUUCCUAGUCGGUGUUAACUACGCGAAUUCAAUAAUGGGAGAGUUCUAUCCCUAGGAGAAAUUUUUCAUUGUGACUGGAACACGGGUGGUACACCACGUGUUUUUAUAUAUUUCGUAGUGUAGAUACUAUUGUUUGUUAAUUUUUUUUAAUUAAAUUUAUAAAAACAGUCAGGUUAUAAUACAAAAUAAUCUUAUUUACGCCCUUUUAAAUCUAAAUGCCCCAAGCAGUUUCGUAUGGCGGUAUGUAGAUAGAAGCCUCUCCCGUUAAUUAUUGAAGACAAGAAGUGUAUGGCUGAAACUAGGGAUAGAAAGAUUUUCCAGUGUGACCGGAACACGGAUUUGGUACAUCACGUAUUACUAUACAAAUGGUGGGAUAUGUGUGUUAAAAAAUUAAUAACUUAAAAAAUAAAAUUUCUCACCACUUAUAUAAAAACACGUGAUGUACCACCCGUGUUCCGGUCACAAUAAAAAAUUUCUCCUAGGAAUAGUACUCUCCCAUUAUUGAAUGCCCUUGCCCAAGAUUUCAACCGGAACACGGGCGGUAUCUAAUUUUACUCUAAAAUUUAAAAUUUAUUAUCACAUCAUAUUAAAUGCCCUUGCCCACUUUUAUUGUUUUUUUAUUUUCUUUCUAAAAUUCCUACUUUAAUAUCAAUUAAGGCUUAAAAAUAGGAAUUUUGAUUUCUACAAAUCAAUUUAGAAUUUUAAAAUGGAAGAUUUUUAAAUAACAUUUUGUUAAUGAGAAAUAAACUGUAUAUUAAAAUUUCUACAGAUAAUGCACAAAACCAAACAAAUGUAUUAAUAUGUUGACACAUUAAACAAUAUACUAUAACAACAACAAGUAGUUUAGUGGUAAGGGCGCAAACUGCGGCUUCCCAAUAAACAAAAAAAUAUGGGAGGUCCCAGAUUCGAUGCUCCGAGUUGGUGAGUUUGUGUGACUGUGGUCAUGGUCAGGGUGAAAUUACUAGCCUCUCCGGGCCCGAAAAUGGUGGACAAUCGUGGUUUGCCACUAGUUGUCCCCCUUUUAUAUGGGAGAAAAAUAAACAAUAUACUAUAAAGGUGUAUAAAUAUAGGUGUAUAAAUAUAGGUACAUAAAUAUAUAUUCAUGUACAUAUAUGCAUAUAUAGGUACACAUAUAUACAUAGGUUCAUAUGUAGAGGUAUACAAAUGUGUAUAUAAGUGCAUAUAUAUUGGUACAUGUGUAUACAAAUGUGUAUAUAAGUGCAUAUAUAUUGCUACCUCUACAUCCCCAAUUACCAUAACCCACAUUAACACCACCACCAUUAUCGCUACCACCAACACCACAACCAUCACCACAAUCACCUAUGACUGCAAGUCUGCAACCACCACAUCAAACAUGGCUAACAAGAAGAAUCAUAAGUAUAAAGUGGAGUUGGAAUUUUUUUUUUUUUUUUAAGAUUGAAGUGCAUACAUUAUUAGAAAACACACACACACACACAAAUAUUAAAAAAUUAUCUUAGGAGUUCCUAGAAAUUUUUUAUUCUAAGUUCCUAGAAAUUUUUUAUUCUAACCAUUGCUCUUUAAUUUAGGAAAUUAAGUGAUUACGAACUAAUAGAAAAAAAAUUUAUUUGUCGAUUAGUGUAGAAUAUCAUUUGAAAUUAAAAAAAAAUUAAUAAUGAAAGUGAGAAGCUCCUCUUACUCCUCAAACGUCAAAAACUCAAUGCAAUUUUGCUAUCCUAAGUGCAUAGUAAGGUGCAUGACGUCGAGUGACUAGAGAGAGAUUCCCAACUCCAAAUCUAAAUUAUAUCCCACGUGAACUUGAUGAUAUUUUUUAGGUAAAAGUUUUGACAUGUACGAGAAACACAACACUAGCUUUAACACCUCACGGUUCCACCUUGUCAAAACGUACUACGCUAUACCUGAACAGUCCACAUCAGACGCGGUUUUUUUGGACACUCACUAGUCUCCGCUAAUAGAAUUACCGACAACAGACACCGUUGUUUUGGGCACACUCUCUAUUCACCACUACUAGAAUCUCCACAACAGUAAUCAGGCAUAGUUUUUCUUGGCCAUACUCAAUAAUGGUACCGUCAUGUACCCAACAACGGCACAGACAAUGUGGUUGAUUGAUUCGGUGUCGGUUAAAAAAUCAAAUAUGAGACCACCAUUGCAAUGAUUAUUUUGCAUUCACACUAAAUGCAGGUUGGUGUUUUUCUUGGACCAUCUUCAAUCAUUGGCCUAAAACUUAAAAUUUUUAACCUAAAAAAUUUAGGUUUUAAUUCAGAAACAACUUGUCUGCUCCAACCCUUAUAACUUAAAUUUUUUUAACCCGAAAUUAUUAAAGAAUAAAUUUAGGCUAAUUUUUUUCUUUUAAAUACACUAUCCUAAUUUAAUUUUUUUCUUUUAAGUACCCAAAAAAUUAUAUACACUAUCAUAAUUUAAUUUUAUGAACAUUUUAACCUAAAAAUAUUUAGAUUCCAAUAAAUAUUGAAAAAUCACUAAAUUUGGGUGAAUUUUGAGUUAAAUAAUUUUAGCAUUUGGAUUUAAAUUUGGGCCGUUAUAUAUAUAUAUAUAUAUAUAUUACCGCUAGAUUUGAUUAUAUUCGAUUUCAGCCGUUGGAUUCAAUAAAUCCUGAGGGACAUGCCCAUGUGGGUGGGGUCCUGCUAGGGGUGCCCACACCAUUUUCUAGGCUAAAUCCUGGGCUAUUUCUGGCUUUGUUUUAGGUUUUAGGUUUUAGGUCCAAUUUUCCACUUGGGUUGGGUUAGAUUUAGGAGGGGAAUAGAAGGGGAAAAAUAGGUUAUAGGUCAGAGUUGAAGAUGGUUAUUUUUUGUUUUCCAUCUUUUUCUUUCUUCUUUGCCCACCACAAAACGAUGGCCACUCAAAAUCCACGAAUCACAAUUCAUAUAUUUUCUGUCUGAAUGAACGAGUGGUGUCUGCAAUCUGCAUCAAGCAUGAUUCUCAAUUCAUAUACCUUUUCAGAAAGCCAGUGUUUACUGUGCACAUAGUUUCCAAUGAUUGAUAAUUUUCUUUUAAAAUGGAUAUUAGGGCGCCUCUUGCAAAAUUUAUGCUUGUUCUCAUCCAUAAUUAAGUUAAAUUUUGCAUAUUGAAGAUUGUAAUUAAAUGACGAACAUAGAUCAUAGCUAGUAAAGUAUUUUGAACGAGCUAGUGGCGAAGCAGCCAGUAAUUUGUUGGGUGUUCAGCUUCAAUCCCGCACCCUAGCUAGGAUCCCGAAACCAAAGCAUACACAGCUCAGAUAAAUGGAAGCAAAAAGGAAGCCCUUAGAGCAUUUUUAUCAAUUUUGAAAGAUUUGAGUCUAGGAAUGGGGUUGGGGCAAAACCAUCGGGAUCCUCUUGACUCACUAAUGUGAGCCGUUGGAUUUUGAUCCAACAGCUACAAACAUAGGAUUUUUUGAAUAAUGAACUGCUUUAGCCUCUCAAAAACCACUCUCCAUGCACCCAUUUUGAAUAGUAAGCAAUUGUUAUUUACAAUUAUUAUUACUUUUCAUGUUUGAUUUAAUAAUUUAAUAAUUAUUCAACGAAAAAUGAUUAAUUAUAAAAUAAGCCCAUAUUUUUAUUUUCGCUAAAUAAUAUUAUUUAUGAAUGAAUAGUGGUUUCAGUUUCUAGUUUCAAGAUCAUGAUAUCUUUUUUAAAAAUGAACGAUAAGACGAGUCAAACUCAUCACAUUCGUCACGACUGGAAAGAUGGAUUUUGGCAUUUUAACUUCGUUUAGAGAGUUAAAAACAACUUUUUAUUUUAUUUUAUGCAUAUUUCAUGUACUUUUAUAAACUCACAUCAUUGAUUUCUAAUAACAUUUUUAGUGACUAUGAUUUGUACUAUGUAUCCAUAUCUAUUCAGAAAUCUUCUUGAGAUUUUGAAUAAGAUUGGAACGUAGAAAAAAAUGAUAUUUUAAUAGAAGUUUUGGUGUGAGGAGUGAAGAAAAUGAUUUAAUAUUUAUAAAAAAAAGUAUUCAUAUACUUUUUUUUAUUUUUUAUUUUAUUUUAUUUCAAAAAAAAAUUGUGACCGUUAGAUUGAAGUGUGAAGAUUGGUAUUUACUAUAUAUAUUUACACAUUGAUAGUUUACGUAUUUUUAUCAAAUUUUUAUGUAUUAAUUUUGUACAUAAAUGUUUGAAACUUCCACACAUCCUCCUAUAUACGUGCAUUACAUUUUACUUCUUGUCAUCAAAUUGGAUUGGUUAUCCAUCCGUAAAACCCCAUCUCCAAACUGAGCAAGAUGGACACUUGUACUGUUGUACACUCAACUUGUCGAACUCUAUUUCAUUUAGCCAUGUGUCCAUGUCCAUCCAAAAUUGUACCACCUAUAUUACUUGGCCAACUCUCUUUUGGUUGGAUAGAUAUAUGUGCAAGUUAAUAUUCAUCCUUUAUUGUAUUUUAACUUAGUUCCUUAACUCCUAGUGGCCGACUUUAUGUGACAACGAAAAUCUUUUUUGUUUAGAUGAAAGAUGUUAACCAUUCAAUUCUUAAGUUUGUUUUUUUUCCUUUUUCCUUCAUACAAAUGCAUAUGUGUGUAAAAUAGUAGUCAAAAAGUAAUUGUUGUGCAUCUGAUAUAUCACAUUUCAGUGCAUCUUAAUUAUGUAACAAAUCAAAUGAAAAUACUGUAAUCCACAAUAAUUACUAAAUAUUUCUCAUCAAAUUUUAAAAUAGAUCACCAAGCUGCAAGGUACAACCAUUCGCCGUAUGUUUAUCAGGUUUUCUUUUUUCUAACUUUUGAUGUCUGUACGUACCUACUUCGCGUAGUUGUUAAUUCUGCCUUGGCUUCGAAAUUAAACAAAGUAUCCCAUGCUUCUUUGGCUGUGGUUUUGUCCUUUAUAAAUUUAUACGUUUCAUCCCCGCAAGAACUCUGGAUGGGAUGUAAGGCCUUGACAUCCUUCUUCUUCCAAGCCUUACGUUCUUCUUCUUCUUCUUCAAGAGGUUCAUGGGUGCCUUUGACAAUGUCCCAAAGAUCUUCGGCUAACAAGUAGGUCUUUACCCGAGAACUCCAAUCGUCAUAGGUUUUUUACGGUUAAGCAUUGUAGGAACAAUUGUAGCUGUCAUGUUCAAUAUGCCAUUUAUUCAACGAGAUUUCAUAUCAAUCAAGCAUCUGUGACAAAAAAAAAAUGGCAAGAAAAACAAAAUGAAACAAAGUCAGUCUGUCUAACAACACUUGAGGAGGGCUAGUGUCGUAUUGGAAAUCAAGCACUCUUGUGACCUUGGUCACCUAUAGGUUUGAGGCUUCCCGUCCCUUUUUCCCCUAGAACCCCCACCUAACUAUUGAAAAACAACAACACUACAUAUUGAAUUGGGGCAAUACGAGUCUGCAGUUAUGAGCUUUCUAAUUAGUAAAUUAGUAAUUAUCCUGCACAUUUGCUCAUAGAUUAGUCAGAUGACUUCCUUUAAUUGCAACUGAAAGAAGCACUUAUCACAUUAAAGUCAUUAAUAUCUCCUUGAUAAAUAAUCGAGAACCCGAUACGCAAUCAAAUUCAAGUAUUUUGGAUUCUGGGAAGCUGCUAGAGUUGAUGUGUAAACACUUUUUGCAGAUUGCUUGAUUGUCAAUUUUAAUUAAGUCUUAUUGAUGCAAUGCGAGCCAUGGAUCAUAGUCUAUGUGGAUCACUUAUUUUUUGUUUUAGUAAGUUAGCUCAAGCCAUCUCUAACCGAGGGCUGGCCAGAGGGCUCGUUUUAGCCAUCUGGCCCUCCAAGAUUCCCCAAGAUAUUAAUAUUUUAAUGAACAGUACAGGGCAAUAUUUACGUCCGUCUCCAACCGAGGGUCAAAAGGCCAGAGGGCUCGUUUUAGCCCUGUCACAAAAAACCAUCUCCAACCGAGGGCCAAAGGGCCAUAGGGUCAAACAUAAUUUAUUAUUUAAAAACUACAACUAAAAUGUUGUUUAAGCUUCAUGUUGUAUAAUUUUUAUGUUAAUGUUAUUUAAUGUUGUUUCAUAUUGUUUAAUGUUGUUUCAUGUUACUUAAUUUAAUUUAAUGUUGUAUAAUGACUUAGGAAGUUAUAGGAAAAAAAUAGAAUUUAAAAAAAAUAUGAAACAAAUUUUGUCAAAUAGAAGUUAUAGGAAAAAAAUGGAAUUAAAAAAAAAAUAUGAAACAAAUUUUGUGAAAUAGAAGUUAUAGGAAAAAAAUGGAAUUUAAAAAACAAUAUGAAAUAAAUUUUGUGAAAUAGAAGUUAUAGGAAAAAAAUGGAGAUGGUUUUAGGGCUAUUUUCGGCUCUCUGGCCCUCUAGCCUAGCCCUCGGUUGGAGACGGUUUUAGGGCUAUUUUGGGGCCUCUGGCCCUCUGGACCUUUCAGUUGGAGAUGACCUCAUGUUAUUUGUCAGUAUUUCAUAGGAUGACUAGAUUUGGUUUGUGUUGAUGUAAGAGAGAUUGCUCUCCCUCAUCUUUGUAAUGGUAACAAAUUCACACACUUCGUGUGAAUGAGUUUGAUGAUGAAAUAUUCCAACUGAAAAUCAUCUCUGCAAUUUUCUGCAUAUCUCAUCUUCUUCUCAAAAAAUCAAUAUCGAAAAUCAUCCCAUUUUCUUUCAAGUUCUUAUCAUAAUUAACUACAAAUCAACAUAUAAACACUAACAUGGCCUCCAAGUUCAAUUGCUUAAUCUGGGCGUGAAUCUGUUAUUUUGUGCAGUGGGAAAAAUCAAACUUGAAUCGAGCUUCGCCACAAUGAAAUCGAGCUUCAAAAACUAUUGGGUGCUCUAGAUACGAGUCUAAUAUGGCUGGAUCGACUGAUUUUGAAUUUUCCAUUAAAAUUCCUACCCUAAUCAUCUAUUAAGCCUUAAAAAUAGAAAUUUGAGUUCUACAAAUAAAAUUGAGCAAUUUAAAAUGGAACAUUUUUAAAGAAUUAAAUGAGAAUUAUAAACUAUAUAAAAAUUUGUACAGCAAUCACAAAACCAAACAAAUAAUCUAAUGUACAGGCAAUCACAAAACCAAACAAAUAAUCUAAUAUGCGGACACAAUUAUUUUUAUUUAUUGGGUGUGAUUAUCAUCCAUCUUCGAAUUCAUACAAACCCUUGAUUCUAUGUCACUAGUUAAUUACACAAAUUCUAGUUAAUGGUUAGGCAAAGAAACAACAGUCAGUACUAUCACAUCCUAGCCCGGGCCUCCACCACAUCUCGGGCUUGACUCCACCGUAGCAUGAUAUUUUUCGCUUUGGGCCCCGAUCACGUCCUCAUGGUUUUGUUUCUGGGAACUCACACGAGAACUUUCCAGUGGAUCACCCAUCAUGGGAUUGCUUUCACGCUAACUUGCUUAACUUCGAAGUUCUGAUGGAACCCGAAGCCAAUGAGCUCUCAAAGGGCCUCGUGCUAGGUAGAGAUAGGAAUAUACAUAUAAGGCUUACAGAAUCCACUCCCUUAAGCGAUGUGGGAUAUUAGAAUCCACCCCGCUUAGGGGCCCGACGUCCUCGUCGACACACUUCCGGUCAGGGAUUGGCUCUGAUACCAAAUUGUCACAUCCCCGCCCGGCCCCCACCACAUCCCAGGCUUGACUCCACCGUAACAUGAUAUUGUUCACUUUGGGUCCCGACCACGCCCUCACGGUUUUGUUUCUGGGAACUCACACGGGAACUUCCCAGUGGGUCACCCAUCAUGGGAUUGCUCUCGCGCGAACUCGCUUAACUUCAGAGUUCCGAUGGAACCCAAAGUCAAUGAGCUCCCAACAUGCCUCAUGCUAGAUAGAGAUAGGAAUAUACAUAUAAGGCUUACAUGAUCCACUCCCCUAGGCGAUGUGAGAUGUUACAAGUACUGCUACGCAGAGCUUGUUCAAUAUUCAAGAAGCACUAAAAGUAUAUAUGCAAAAAUGUUCUUGCUGGAGAAUUAAGUUUUAUAUCAGAAAUAUAACAAAAUAAUACACAAUUUAUAUUUGGAAGAUUUUAUUUCUAAUAUUACCGAAGAUUUUGAUAAACAUAAUAAUGUGGUUUAGUAAAGACAAUUUUAGUAACGUUGGGGGUAACUCAUGCUAAGCCAAAAAGUUUAUUAUAACCUUAGGGCAUGUUAUUCUUCCAAUGUGUUUUAGGCACGAUUUAUUAGGGGCUUUCGAAAAAAUGCGCUAGUUGUUACUUAAAGGUAUUGAUUUAAUGUCCAGUCAUUUGAAAAGAUGUGGGUUGACUCCAGUACUUUGGGCUCUCGAUAAGACUGUUGUUUAGAUUCAAUAUAAUGAAUAGACUAGUUUUUUUUUUAGAAAAAAAAAAAGAAAGAAAGAAAAAAUAAUAUAUCAGUUUUUUAUGGGAAAGUCACUUGUGAAGAGGUGUGUUGGAGAAUAGAGUUUGACAUUGGAAACCGAGGCAUUUCAUAAUAAAAUCUCAUACCAAAUAAUAAGUGAUUGACUAAAUUAGAAACAAUAUGAAUGAUAUUGGUGGUCAUACUAAACCUUUAGGUUAUAGCAUUGUUUAUUGAUGCAUCAUUGGUACUCUUAUGUUUUUGUAUAUUUUCUUAUAUGCCACCAAUUCAUUACAAUAUAUUUAGGUAUGAGCAUUUCUGUAUAGGGGUGUGCUAUUCACACACCCCUUUUUACUUCUCACACACCCUUUGUUAAUUUCUGCCCUUUGAUCUUCUUUAAUUCAGUCGAUCCGAUGACCGCAAAUUAAGAGGCUAUGUAUGAAGUAAAAAGGGAUGUGUGGAUAGCACAUCCCUUCUGUAUACUAGGUUAAUAUAAUAUCUUUAGGUACGGACACUUCGGUAUACUAGUUUAGUAUAAUAUAUUUAGGUACCAACAUUUCAGUACCUUGGUUUAGUAUUAUAUAUUUAGGUACGGAAUUUUCAAUAGACUUAUGUUUUUGCAUAUUUUUUUAUGUGCCACUAAUUAACUACAAAACAUUUAGGUAGUACAAUAUGUUUACAUAUAGACAUUUUGGUACACUAAUUUAGUAAAAAUAUAUUUAGAUACGGAUGCUUAGGUACACUAAUUAGAGGAAGUUAAAAUAAAAUUAAUGAAUUCAAAUGUGUAUAAUAUAUAAUAAAUUUAAAAUUUAAUGUAAUGACAUUAAAUAAAAUAUCUAUUAAAUAUUAAAACAAAAAUAUAAUAUGAAUUUGAAUUAAGUACACAUUAAAGGACUAAAAUCAAUAUCCAAUCUAAUUCCAGAUUUUUAUUAAAUUUUAAUCUUCUUUAAGGAUUAAAGUUUAAAAACCCUUUUGUUUUUUCAAACUAAUUCCAGAUUUUUAUUAAAUUUUAAUCUUCUUUAAGGAUUAAAGUUUAAAAACCUUUUUGUUUUUUCAAACAAAGUAGAGCUAAAGGACUUUUAUUGUGGAGGGUAAUAGGUAAUUUUAAAAAUGGAAAAUAUGAGGAGAAAAUAAAAAACAGUGUUGAACUAACCGUAAUAAAUCAACUUUUCCCAGAAAUUGGGUCGGCUUCCACUUUUGAAUGCAGAACGGUCACUGACCAAUGUUACUAAGGGGAAUUCUCAGUCAUGAUCUUUAGCCAUGGCUAGUUGUGGGUAACGCUGAAUCAAAUCUCACGCAAUAUCUAUAUAUAAUAGAAAUGUGAAAAACAACAAUGUAAGUAUGCAGAUAAAGGGGUGUGAUAUCCACACACCCCAUUUUACUUCUCACACACAUUUUUAAUUUUCGGCCGUCAGAUCAGAUGAAUUGAAGAAGGUCAACGGAAAGAAAUUAUCAAAAGGUGUGUGAGAAGUAAAAUAUGGUGUGUGGAUAGCACACCGCGCAGAUAAAAUAUGUAACCAAAAAGCUCACACACGGGCAAAAGAAGAUACAACCAAAGAGCUCUGGCCUAGCUUCAUGAUCAAUCGGGACUGGAUACGCUUGAUAAAGUGACCUCUCAUCUGAAAAUGGAAAUCUUGAUGUUCGGAUAUUACCAUCAAUUCUUAAUUUGUCUUUUCUUUUCCUUUCUUACAAAUGACUAUGUGUGUGAGAAGUUCAGCUACUAAUCAGAAUGCUUUAUUAAUCCAUAAUAAAUACAAAAUAUUCCCCAUCAAACCAGAACAGUACAACCACUGCCGUGUGUGUAUGGGAAUUGGGAUAAUAAUCAAGAUAUCGAUAGUGAUGCUCACGGUGUUCACAUAUCUAGAAAGUUCAAUUCUACUACUGGUUCUCAUGGGAAACAUUGGUACACUAUUUAAGACAUGAUUAACAAUUUCAAGGCAGUUUAUUAUUUAAACUCUUGAGUAAUUUGUGACCUUUCAGUUAACAAUAAACUCUACAUAAAAAAUAUAAGUACAAAAGAAAAAAAGUUGUCAAUCUCAUGAAAAAAAAAUCAACUAAAAACUAACUGCAAAAGGAAGGCAAUCAAAUCAAUACUCCUCCAAACCAAGAUAAACCAAAAAGUUGGCCUUUCAACCUUCGAGUAAACACGAAUAUCAGCCUGAGUUCUCCUUCUCAUCUCAUCUAUAACUUACCUCCUUGUCCAAGGAGGCAUCCAAGUACAAGAAGCCUAGUAGUGAUUAUGCCUUUAUCGGGGAAUUCACUUGUUCUGUUCUGAAGCUCAAGAAUUGUCUCAAUGGUUUGUGAUCUGGGAUUCCACAAGGCCUGAAAAAGUAUGAGCAAGCUGAUCCACUGCUAGCAUAUUCUUGAUCCACAGGCACCACCAAACAGUUGGUGCAUGGUACGUUGUCCAUGCAAAUAACACUUCUAAGCCAAUAUGAAAAGAAGUUAAAGACAGGAAAUGGCUGUGUAUCACAAAAUGGCAUACCUCAAAAGCAGAGACGUGAAUGACACUUUCUUCUGAAUCCUUUGAUGCAUCCUGAGCAUGAAUACUGGCUCCAGUUUGCAGUUGUAAUUGUUUUACAUUAAAACCGCCCUUGCCAAUAACCCACCAAAUUUCCCAGCUCAACACAUAAUUUUCAUGAAAACUCAGCUAGAGCUAGAGCUUCACCCCCAUGUCCAGGAGGAAAACCAUUAAAACCACCCCGGACAAAUCCAGAACGGUUUUCAUAUCCUCCUGUCCAUGGCAUUGGCGACAUAGUGUGGGAAGGAGCCCGAUUAGACAACAUCGGAUUUCUAGGUGAAAGGAAAGGCAUAGGAAAGCCUGAAGGAGGCUUGUCCUUCCUAGGAUUCUGAUGCAGUAGAUUAGACACUUCAUAAAGUGCCCUCUUUGUCAUAUUUUGUUUUGCAGAUAUCUCUCACUUUUGUUGAAAGUUAAUAUAGGCACCAAAAAAUAAAUAACAAAGAACUUUUCAUGUGAGUUUCAUAUAAGCAUGUUUGGAGAUUGAAAGUGACCAAGCUACAAAAUCAUAUGCUUUUACAAAUGUAAAAAGAAGACAUGAAAAGUCUCAAUACACCCACAAGUUUCCAGCGGCAGACUUCACUGGCACAAAGUGACUGCAUACGUGGACCACUGGACCUUCAUUCGUAUACAUAGACAUAUUUAGGGUAUAUAUUUUGAGCACCAAUAAAUUUCCCAAUAACAACAUACACAGCUGGGAACACAUAUUAAAUUAAAAACAACAAAAAUCAUUUCUAACACAAAAAUAAGUUUGAAAAAAAAUUAACUUUAAUCAACAGAUGAGCUCAUACGAUGUCAUAAGAUUUGCUAUAUUAGCUCAAUCAAAAGUCUAAUUCCAUCUACAUCAUGUAAAAUCUUCUUUUGGAACAUUAUUUCCUGUGUUAGAGAACAUGCAAGGAGCACAAAAAUAGAAAGUGUACCAGCACCAAUUCAUCAGUUUCCAUAGCACAAGUUGGAAGCUGAUCUGCAAGAAGGACAGCCAACCAUAUUGUUUGGAACUAGAAGUCUUGUGGUGACAACACGGUUCUCGUUGUCAUCAUCAAAUGUAACUCCACCAAAACGAUCUUCCUCUACAAUCCUGUCAUGAACUUUCAACAGAGCAUCCUGGGCAGCACAAUGCGGCUCCAUUUCAUUUCCAUCAGCUAAAUUUUCAUGGUUAUUUUGUUUGCUUGAAAUUUUUGUUGGAGAGCUAUUGAUAAUAAUUACUCUCUCAUCUGAGCCAAGAACAGAAUCAGAAACCUUAAUCUUUGCCGGGGGUCUCCUCUAAGGGCUUUGCCACCCUUCCCAAUAACACCACCGAUCUUUUUAGAAGGGCAGAGAAUGUUAGUUUAUAAGUGUAUUUGCUGAAAUAUAAUAAGAAGUCAGUUUUAAAUAUCAGCCCUUGGAUCAUAGUCCAAGUGUGCAGCUAAGAUGUAAUCUUAGAUUAAUUAAUAUUUCCUCUUGCUACAUGUGCUAAGUGUGUGUGAAUGAAUGAAACAGUGCAGAGUUCGUUUCUUCUUCCUCAAGCUGAAUUCUCUCACUCUCUCUCUCUAGAUUUCUUACUCUCUUCCUUUCUUCAGUAUUUUAUAAAUUGAUUGAAACACUCAUACAAGAUCAUAGUCUGUAUGCUAACAUGGCCUCAGAGCCAGGUUCGAUCAAUUGAUACUGGGCGUUUGGAUCUGUGAAGAGAGCUACCCAGCAACUCAAAGCUGCGAUCGAGUUGAUUGCGAUCUGAGUCUAACAUGGCAGGAUCGGGUAGUGGUGAGGUGAGAGCACCAAUUUUCAAUGGUGAAAAUUAUGAGUUUUGGAGUAUUAAGAUGAAGACCAUUUUCAAGUCCUACGGAUUGUGGAAUCUGGUUGAAAAGGGUUUCGAUGAAUCAGAUCUGAAGAAGAUUGAUGAAUCUGAGGCGAAGAAGAAAGACAAAGAAGAGUCUAGUGGUGCUGGGAGGAUGACGCUUGUUGAGGUGCUCAUGAAGGAUGCUAAAGCUCUGGGUCUGAUUCAGGGCGCUGUUUCAGAUGAGAUAUUUCCCAGAAUCUCUCAUGAAGAAACUUCAAAAGGCGUAUGGGACAUUCUGCAGCAAGAAUACCAUGGUGAUAAACAGGUUAGAAGUGUUAAAUUGCAAGGUCUUCGUAGGGAAUUUGAAUAUACCCGAAUGCGAGAUGAUGAAUCACUUUCUGUUUAUCUUACAAAACUAUUUGAUCUGAUAAAUCAAAUGCGGAGCUAUGGAGAGGAAUUAUCUCGAGAGAGAGUUGUUCAGAAAUUAUUAAUUAGUUUGCCAUCAGCUUAUGACUCUAUCUGUUCUGUUAUUGAGCAUUCGAAAGAUUUGGAUGUGAUUGAGGUACAAGAGGUGGUGGCUUCUUUGAAGAGUUUUGAGUUAAGGAUUGAUAGGCAUUCUGAAAAUAAAACUGAGAGAGCAUUUGCUAGCCUUAGUGUGAAUCCCAAACCAGUUAAGUUUACUGGAAAUCAAAAUGCCAAGUACCAUAAGAAUUGGAAGGACAAAGGCAAGAAGUGGGAUAACAAACCCACAGAUGGGGCUAGAAAUUCUUGUAAGCAUUGUGGCAAGCUACAUUUUGGUGAGUGUCGAUUCAAAGGCAAACCAAAAUGUUACAACUGUGAUAAGUUUGGUCAUCUAGCAAGGGACUGUAAUAGCAAGAAGGCAGUGCAACAGCUUAAUUAUGCCACUCAGGCAGACUCUACACCAAUCAUGUUUUAUGCUAGUAAUCAAACUAAUACUAGUGUAAAAGGAUGUGAAGAUGUAUGGUAUGUAGAUAGUGGGUGUAGUAAUCAUAUGACUGGAAGGGAGGAUCUACUGGUUGAUAUUGACAAGUAUGUGACUGCAAAGGUUGAAAUGGGUACUGGACAGCUUGUUGAUGUAACUGGUAAAGGAAGUCUUAUGGUUGAAACUAAAAUAGGCAAGAGAUAUAUCAAGGAGGUUAUGCUUGUGCCUGGAUUGAAAGAAAAUUUGCUCAGUGUAGGUCAAAUGAUGAAGCACGGUUAUUACUUGGUGUUUGGAGGUCAUAAAGUAGAGAUCUAUGAUGAUAGCUCAUAUUCCAACUUGAUUGCCAGAGUACCAAUGAAGGGAAAUCGAAGUUUUCCAAUGAAGUUACAGUCUGGAAUACAUAUUGCCUACAGGGCAAAUGUAUGUCCUUCUACUGCUAUGUGGCACAGAAGAUUGGGUCAUCUGAACAUGAGCAGUUUGAAAUUGAUGCAGGAACAAGAAUUGGUGGUCGGGUUACCGGAGAUCAAAGUAAUUAAAGGAGUGUGUGAAGGCUGUGUUCUUGGCAAACAAUGCAGAGAAGCAUUUCCAAGAGAAGCCACUACUAGAGCAUCAUUUCCUCUUGAGCUUAUACACAGUGACAUUUGCGGACCAAUGCAGACAACUACAACAGCUGGAAAUCGAUACUUUCUCACUUUUAUAGAUGACUGCACCAGGAUGUGUUGGAUUUAUUUUCUAAGGCAUAAAUCUGAAGUUCUCAAUGUGUUUAAAAGGUUCAAAGCUACUGUAGAGUUGCAGAGUGGAUAUAAACUGAAGAAAGCUUAGGAGUGAUCGAGGAGGUGAAUACACCUCAAUGGAAUUUAACAGAUUUGUUGAAGAUGUAGGCCUGGAAAGACAACUUACCACUCCAUACACACCACAGCAAAAUGGUGUGGCAGAGAGAAAGAACAGAACCAUCGUGGAAAUGGCUAAGUGUCUUAUGUUGGAGAAGAAGGUUCCACUUGAAUUCUGGGCUGAGGCAGUCAAUACCUCUGUGUACAUUCUGAAUCGAUGCCCAACCAAAGCCUUACAUAAGAAGACACCUUUUGAAGCUUACAGUGGGAGAAAACCAGGAAUUAAGCAUCUAAAAGUGUUUGGUUCUUUGUGUUAUGCUCAUGUGCCAAGUCAACAGAGACAAAAACUCGAUUUGGCAAGCAAGAGGUGUAUUUUCUUGGGAUAUGGUAGUUGUGAGAAGGGAUAUAGACUGUAUAACAUUGAAUCUGGAAAGGUGACUAUUUCCAGAGAUGUUGUGUUUAAUGAAGAAGCAUGUUGGGAUUGGAAUGCACAGAAGGAAAGAAGGGAGAGUAUCCAGAUCAUUGAAAUGUCUGCAGGAGAACAAAACUGUGAAGGAAGUGCUUGUGAUUCUGAAACACAAUGUGAAGUCAGUGAAGAGAAUGUUGGGUCAGAUUUAGUUACUGAGCUAUCUGAUCAAGAAAGAGUGACAAGUCCACAGGAUUUUGAUCACACUCCUCUCAAGUACAGAAACAUUGCAGAAAUAUAUGAAAAGUGUAAUAUGUGCAUAAUAGAACCCGAAUGUUUUGAAGAGGCUGCCAAGGAUGAAUCAUGGCAGAAGGCUAUGGAAGAUGAAAUCUCUAUGAUUGAGAAGAAUCAUACUUGGGAUCUUGUUGAUAGACCAUUUGAUAAACCAAUCAUUGGAGUCAAAUGGGUUUAUAAAACAAAACUAAAUCUGGAUGGUUCAGUGCAGAAAAACAAAGCACGGUUGGUUGCAAAGGGGUACUCUCAGAAGCCUGGAAUCGAUUUCAAUGAAACUUUUGCACCUGUGGCAAGACUUGAUACUGUGAGAACCUUGGUGGCCCUUGCUGCACAGAAAGGAUGGAAAUUAUUUCAGUUAGAUGUAAAGUCUGCAUUUCUAAAUGGAGUGUUGAAUGAAGAGGUGUAUGUGGAUCAACCAUCUGGUUUUGUUAUACAGGGCAAGGAAGACAAAGUGUACAGGCUCAGGAAAGCUUUAUAUGGUUUGAAACAAGCUCCAAGAGCUUGGUAUGAAGAAAUAAAUUCCUAUUUUGCAAAGGCUGGAUUCCACAGAAGUCCGAGUGAAGCUACUCUUUAUAUCAAGACAUCUCACAGUGGCAUUCUUAUUGUGUCACUGUAUGUAGAUGAUAUUAUUUACACAGGGAGUUCAAAGGAGAUGAUAGCUGAGUUUAAAGGUGAGAUGAUGAGACAAUAUGAGAUGACUGAUCUAGGAUUACUUCACCAUUUCCUUGGUCUUGGAGUAUUGCAAACAGAUAAUUACAUCUUCUUGCAUCAAAAGAAAUAUGCAAAGACUUUGCUUGAGAAAUUUGGACUUAGGGAUUGUAAGCCGGUUGCAACACCAUUAGCUAUGAAUGAAAAACUUACAAAAGUAGAUGGAAGUGAUCUGGCAGAUGAGACUUUAUAUAGACAAAUGGUGGGAAGUUUGCUAUAUUUGACAGCAACAAGGCCAGAUAUUAUGUUUGCAGCAAGCUUAUUGGCUAGGUUUAUGCACAAUCCUACCAAGAAGCAUAUGGGGAUAGCUAAGAGAGUUCUGAGAUACAUACAAGGCACUGUGACCUAUGGAGUUGUCUAUGAAAAGGGAAAAGGAGCAGUGUUGGUUGGUUAUUGUGAUAGUGAUUGGAGUGGAAGUGAAGAUGAUAUGAGGAGUACAUCUGGCUAUGCAUUCAAUCUUGGUUCUGGUGUGUUUUCUUGGGCCUCAAUCAAACAAAGCAGUGUUGCUCUUUCAACUGCAGAGGCAGAGUACAUCAGUGCAGCAGAAGCUACUGCACAAGCCAUUUGGCUAAGAUUUGUACUCUCUGAUUUCGGGGAAGAACAAGCAGAACCAACUAAGUUGUUGUGUGAUAAUACCUCAGCAAUUGCCAUAUCAAAGAAUCCAGUUCAUCAUCACAAAACCAAGCACAUUAAUCGGAAAUUUCAUUUCAUCCGAGAUGCACUUCAAGAUGGUGAGAUUGAUCUGGUAUACUGCAAGACUGAAGAGCAGGUUGCAGAUAUAUUCACUAAAGCUUUGGCAAGGGAUCGAUUUGAAGUACUGAGGACAGCUUUGGGAGUGAUUUCAGCACAUCACUUAGAAGGGAGUGUUAGUUUAUAAGUGUAUUUGCUGAAAUAUAAUAAGAAGUCAGUUUUAAAUAUCAGCCCUUGGAUCAUAGUCCAAGUGUGCAGCUAAGAUGUAAUCUUAGAUUAAUUAAUAUUUCCUCUUGCUACAUGUGCUAAGUGUGUGUGAAUGAAUGAAACAGUGCAGAGUUCGUUUCUUCUUCCUCAAGCUGAAUUCUCUCACUCUCUCUCUCUAGAUUUCUUACUCUCUUCCUUUCUUCAGUAUUUUAUAAAUUGAUUGAAACACUCAUACAAGAUCAUAGUCUGUAUGCUAACAGAGAAUACGAUACACAGUGUUGAGCAAUUGAUAAUCCUCUGAAGGUUGCUUACGGCUUGAAUCAUUCCACUUUCCUUUCUUAUAGUUGUUGUUACCCCCUCUUCUUUUAAACUGGAUAUUACGGCAUUUCUUGAAAAAGUUUCGAUUGUUCCCAUCCAUCAUACCCCUCAAUACUAAAAACUAAUAACUGAAGGGAACUGAAUUUUAAGGAAACCUUAAUUCCUGGAUUAAAAAAAACAAUAACAAAAGUCGCCAUUACUGCGAAAGAGCCUAAUGCCAUCCUAAUUUUCUCGAGCAAUGAAACUGGGCUCAUCAUUUACAAUUUCGAACUGAACACUAAGUUAAGCAAAAGCUAUUGAAUUCAGGGAUUGCCAAUACAAAAGUUCAACUAUACAUUGUAAAGCUUGUAGUUAAAAAACGUACUUUGAUCUAGUAAAGUAUUUCCAACGAGCUAGCGGCCGUAAUUCGUGAGCGUUAGGCUUCGACCCAUCGCCCUAGGGUUCCAAAAACCAAACAUAUUCAUACAAUAUCAAAUUCAAGCAUUUCCUUUUCUGGGAACUAACCAAAACAAUAAUGCAAGACAAAAGUUCGAAUCUUUAGUUAAUUAACGACAGGAAACAAUAAAUUAGAUGGAGGGUGAUCGGAGAAAUGAGAAGAACAUAGCACAGGCCAGUCAGUAAAACUGUAAGAUUAUCGUUUGUGGGAAAGUUAAUGAAUGGUUUUUACCUUUUUACGUACCAGAGCGCGCGCGCGCGAUGAAUCGAGGUAAUGGAGCUUGGAGUCUUGGACUUGCAGAGUUUUGCCUGUAUUUUUUUUCGGUGGAAAAGGAGGUGGCCUUCGACCGAUUUCGAAUUCGUAGGAAAGGCUAAGGCCAUCUCUAACGACCGAAGAUUGGUAAGAAGAUUCGUUUUAACUCUUUGGUUUUUCAAGAUAUUAAUAUUUUAAUAAAUAGUACUUGAUUAUAUUUGCCUCUGUCUUCAACAGAGGGCCAAAGGGUCAUAGGGCUUGUUUUAGCUCUGUCACAAAAAAUCGUCUCCAACCUAGAGUCAAAUGGGCAAACAUAAUUUAUUAUUUAAAUUUAAAAACUACAACGGUAACUAACUAAAAAAACUGAAAAAAUUAGAACUAAAAUUUAAUGAAUGGUUUAGGUAUUUAUAGGAAAAAAUUUUGAAUUUUUAAGAUUUUUUUUAAAGGCCCAAAAAACCAAAAAAAAAUAAUUUUUGAAUACAAUAGCUAGUCAGCUAGCUGUUGGAUUCAAAUAAUCGACAGGAAUACUCAUCACUCUGGCCCAGCCCUGGUUGGCUGGCUGACUGCUUGUGGCCAGCCCUUUGACCCUUUUAGAUUCUGUGGAGCCCACGAGCCCUCUGGCUUAGCCCUCAGUUAAAGACAGUUUUCGGACUAUUUUUGGCCCUCUGGCCCUCUGGAUCCUUCGGUUGGAGAUGGCCUAACUUAACUUCGACCCGUUUCAAAUUGGACACGUCACAAAAGGUCCUGGACCAAUUUGAAAAAAUUCCCAAAAUAUUGGAAGACCCUUCGUGGAUUUAGAUUUUGCAAUAUACUCAGAAUAUAAAUCGGUACAUUACGUGUCGUAAUACAAGGAGAGAAAUGCGAAAAAUGUAUAUUUAUCCAGUAUUCACUUAUAUUAUAACACGUAAUGUACUAACUUGUAUUCCAAAUAGAUAAAAACAAAUCUCCCUUUACGGGUGUUAAUUCCAGCAUCCAAUGGAGUUGAUCCUUGAGGGAUAACUAAAGAUUUCAUUGUUUGAAACUUUAAAAUAAGGGAUAAAAUUUAGUGAGUCCAUUCAAAUAGGAGUAAACUGUGGUUUUACUCCAUCAAUUAUUUCUUCAUCGACUUCUACAAGUUAGGUUAUUAUUCUUACAAAGACAACACCAAACUAGAUUUCUUCUCGCUCAGGAAAGCCCCAAGAGCAUUUAGCACUUAACUAGUUUGGUAUUUUUCAUUGUUCCUGUGAACACGGAAAAUUCCUGAAACGAAAGAGACAAGAACAACGUGCACAAACAAAUAUUUGUAUUUUUGAUGAUUUUGGGUUACAAUCUCUCUCUAUUUUGAUCCUCUGAUUCGAUCUCCGUAAGGUGUUGAUUUGUGGGAUGUGCAAUUGAUCCAAGGGCCGUUGAGGCUUGAUCUUGGAUGAACGAGGAUGAACGGAUCUUCAAGGGCUUUUGGGCUUGAUCUUGAAGAAUGGUGAUUGACGGAUCUUCAAGGGCUUUUAGGCUUGAUCUCGAAGAACAGUGAUGAACGGAUUUCCGAUGGCUUUUGGGCUUGAACUCGAAGAACAGUGACGAACGGAUCUUCGAGAGCUUUUGAGCUUGAACGGAUCUUCGAGGGCUUUUGGGCUUGAUCUCGAAGAACAGUGAUGAACGAUGAACGCUUUCUUCAAGGGCCGUCGGGGCUUGGGCUUGAUGAACAGCGGAUGAGUGGAUUUGUUGGUGUUGUCGAUCCAAAGGGGCCGUUGGGGCUUGAUCCUUGAGGAUGAACAGUUGAUGAACGAUGAACGCUUUCUUCAAGGGGCCGUUGAGGCUUGGGCUUGAAGGUGGAUGAUUGUUGAUCCAAGGGCCGUCGGGCUUGAUCUUGGAAGAACGAUGAACGAAGAACGCUUUCUUGAUUCUUCGGGAACCUGGAUGCUUGAGAGCUUCGGAGUUUCAGAGCUUCAGAGCUUCAAGAGUUUUGCCUAAUGAUUUUUGGUUCUUCAAAUGAAUGAAAUGGGCUUGUAUUUAUAGAAUUUUCCAAGGCCUAAUUUUGAAUAUAAUAUCCCAGAUGAAAUAAGUCGUUUCUGCCAGGUGUUGACACGUGUCUUAUUUGAUGACUUUUCCAACUCAUUUCAAUUUUCGUUGAGUCACAUGCUACGUGUAAAAUUUAUGCAAUACAUGAGCGUUGACACUUUGAUUUAUCGGUCAACAUUUAUUUACCGAAAUUUCGAUGUCUACAAAUGCCCCCACUUCAAGGCACGUCGUAUACAUGUGCUUGUCACGUGUAGGAGAUGCGUUUUGAAGUCCCUUACUGUAGAUGUCGAUCCAAGGGCCGUCGAGGCUUGAUCUUGAAUUGGGCUGGAGAUUUCUUCAAGGGCCGUUGAUGCUGAUCUUGAAUUGGGCUUGAGAUUUCUUCAAGGGCCGUUGAGGCUUGAUCUUGAAUUGUUGUUUGAAAUUUCUUCAAGGGCCGUCGAGGCUUGAUCUUGAAUUGUUGUUUGAAAUUUCUUCAAGGCCGUCGAGGCUUGAUCUUGAAGGUUGAAAUUGGACCACAAGGAGCUUCAUGUGGUAGAUGAUCUUUGGCUUUGGUAGUGGGUGAAUCCACACGUAUUUUGUUGCGAUUUGUUGACUUUCCACAGCUUUGAUCUUGAACUGGGUUGAAGGAUUUUCUAGAUUCCUCCAAUUGUUGAUUUUCCACAGCUUAUUCUUGAACUAGGUUUUGAUUCAAGGGUGGUAGACACUUAAUCUUGAAUCGGACUUGUGAUUUCUUCCAGGGCCGUCGAGGCUUGAUUUCGAAUUUGGCUGGAAGCUUCUUCAAUGGCUUUUGGGGCUUGAUCCUUGAAGGUUGACUUGAACACAUGACAAGCAGGCACGAGGUGAAGGUGACGACUUGUUGCUCUGUUCAAUCUUUCUAAUUCACACCUGAGCAGUUUGGUCAACGGUAUGAUCUUCAAGAUUGAUGGGCUUUUCUUCCAGUUGGUGACUUGAUCUUUAAGGAUUCGAUUCAAGGGUGGUGAAUCGGCACGUGCAGCCCACAACGCCUAGUAAGUCGACCCAAGAAUUUGAGGGUCAAAACGAGUUCACCGUCCUCAGGCAAAUGCGGCAUCUUCUCGAGUUCUUCAUCUCAGACUCUUUCUGCUGAGUUAACUGUGCAUGCUGCAUUCUUCUCUGCUUGUUUCUUCAGCACGUUGUCUCCACAUGCUGCAAGGUAUCAUUUUCACUUGCCUUAUCUAUUCUUCAGGCAGAUGUGGUAGCUUCUUUGGAAGUACAGCAGCAGUGGGAGACGAGUACUCGAGAGCAGUGCUAGGUAGGCAAUCAGGGAAGGGUUCCAAGCAGUCGGUUCCUUACCCGAGUUUGAGUGGAAGUUCCGGCAUAUUGUUUUCUUUAUCCUUGUCUUUGUAGGUAAAAACAAGGACAAAGGAAAGGACAGGAAGAACGCAUGAUAUGAGAUACUCUUGCUUUCUACCCUGGUGAUAUGAGAUACUUUUGCUUUGGAGUCAUUGGCUUGCAGAGGUACCCCAAGGAAUAAAGAACAUUGAAUGACUCGAGAGGCUUCGUUGGGAAAGCAUUUUUGGAGAUGAAGAAAAGCUCUGUGUGUCUGCCUUGCUAUGGAAGGUGAAGGUGGACAGUUAUAGGAGGUCUCUUAAUACCUGUAGAGGUAGUAUUCUUUCACUUGUGUCGGCAACUAACGCGUGAUUGAACAGUAAACUUUCACGUGCUUUCUCCUUCACAGAAAAUCUUCGACAAAUUGCCCGUGAUUUGCGCAAAGUUGAGUGUGCAUAUGACAGGUGAUGACGCGGCCGAAAAAGACUAGCGCCUCUUCGAUAACUGGGAUCGGCGCUUCGACAAAUUACCCGUGAUUUCCGCAAAGCUGAGUUUGCGUGUGAUGGGUGCUGACGUGGCUGAAAAAGACUGGCGCCUCUUCGAUAUCUGGGAUCGGCGCUUCGACAAAUUGCCCGUGAUUUUCGCAAAGCUGAGUUUGCGUGUGACGGGUGCCGACGCGUCUGGAAAAGCAAGAUGCUUCUCCGAUUUCUGAGCUUGCCUCUUCGAUUUUUGAAUGGCCUCUUCGAAUUUUGAGCUCGCCUCUUCGAUCUCUGAAAUCCCGUCGAGUGCUGAUUUUUUUAUAGAGGCAUGCAGUUCGUUUCAAAGCACACUUGAAUUUUCGCUUGUGAAAACUCCCCUCUUGUACUUCUAAGAUCUUGAUUUGUCCGAUCUCUUCUUCCUUCAACACUUUGAAAAUGUCUGGACCAUCUGACCGUCGUUUUGACUUGAAUCUUGGUGAAGAGGCAGUCCCGCCUUCUCCAGACAACAUAUGGCGCCCAACCUUCAUAUCCCCCACUGGUCCUCUUACCGUUGGGGAUUCGGUGAUGAAGAAUGAUAUGACCGCUGCGGUGGUGGCCCGGAACCUUGUCACUCCCAAAGAUAACAGACUACUUUCCAGGCGGUCUGAUGAGUUGGCUGUUAAGGAGUCUCUGGCCCUUAGUGUGCAGUGUGCGGGUUCUGUGUCCAACAUGGCCCAACGCCUAUUUGCUCGAACCCGUCAAGUUGAAUCGUUGGCGGCUGAAGUGAUGAGUCUCAAACAGGAGAUUAGAGGGCUCAAGCAGGAGAAUAAACAGUUGCAUAAGCUCGCACAUAGCUAUGCGACAAACAUGAAGAGGAAGAUUGACCAGAUGCAGGAAUCUGAUGGUCAGAUUUUACUUGAUCAUCAGAGGUUUGUGGGUUUGUUCCAGCAGCAUUUACCUUCGUCUUCUGGGGCUGUACCGACUGCUGAGGCUUCAAACAGUCAACCUCCGGCGCCUUCUCUUCCUAGAGCUCUGCCGAGUUGUGAGGCGCCACCUGAUCGUCCUUGAAUAUCCCCUCUUGUAAAUUUGAUUUGAUUUGAUUUUUUUUUUUUUUUUUUUUUGGUAUGUAGAAGAAUGCAUUUUAUGUAAAUUUUUAAAAUGGUUUUUUUUUUUUUUUUUUUUUUUUUGCACAUGGUGCCAGAUGCCAUCCAUUUUUUUUUUAUUUUCCCCUGUUUUAUUUUUUUUGCACAUGGUGCCAGAGCACCACCAAUAUUCAAACAAUUUUUUUUCUUUAAUCAUGGUGACAGACGCACCAAAGAUCAAACUUUUUAUUUUUUUUAUUAUUAUUUUUUUUUUUCCUUUCUGCACAUGGUGCCCAUGCACCACCAGAAACUUUCGAUCUGUCAUGGGGGCUGUUCCCCAUCUUUGAUCCACCAUCCCAUUUUCUAUUUAUUAUUAUUUUUUUUAUAAAUUUCGAUGAUGGGCUGAGGAAUUUGCAGGGAAGGAUGAAGGCGCAUGGAGAGCACGAAGGUGACCUUGAUGUCGGAUCCAGCUAGAAUCCAGAGCACAGCCACUGAGCCCAACCACAGAGCACAGCCACCGUACACCCAUCGCACUGCCAGCAUCUUCACUGCACUACCAUCUAUACUGCCUGUUGAACUUGCUGCACUGCCUUGUCGUCCUUGCACUGUUUCCUUGCUGCACAGCAUCGCCGUCGCACCGUCGCAGCAUAGCCUUUGCCAUUGCACUGUCCACUGCAUCUCCACUGCACCAUCCCCAUUCCCAUUGCUUCUGCACCGCACACUGUUUUGCAUCUUCACUGCGCUGUUUCCUUGCUGCACAGCCUUGUCGUCCUCACUGCACAAAGCAUUGCACAAAACCGCACUGCCCUAUCUCGCUUGCUGCUGCACCACUGUACCUUUACUGCACCCCCACUGCCUUCCCCGCACUGCUGCUGCAUCACCACUGCAAGGGGAGAGACAGAUUGACAGCGCUUCCGAAGCUUCUUCGCCACCGUCAACAGCGCCAAUCUUCGCUCUCUUAGUUCGGCAAAAGCUUCAGGAUCAUUUGCGAGUCCAAUGACCGAGUCAUGAAGAUGGAAAGCAUGGAUCCUGCAGCACCAACCCAAGUCACAACUUCAAGCCGAGUCAGAGACACCAAUCUAAGUUACAACCUUCAAGUCCAGUGACUGAACUUGAAGAUGGAAAGCAUGGAUCCUGCAGCACCAACCCAAGUCACAACCUCAGUCUUGCACUUCUUCCUUCUUUCGACUAGCUGUGGGAGACCAACCGAGAGAAGCAGCAGCAGUGAUAACACCAGCUACAACAGCAGAAUUCCGGUACUUGUCAGUCGAUACCUUGGCAGUUGACGCUCCAGAGGAAGAGGCAUUUGGUUUGGCAUCAGAGACUGAGCCUCCUGAGCUUCCAGCUGAUAGAUCUGCUCGUUCAGAAAGCGGCAACUGUUAGUCGUUGAUCCUGAUCGUUGGGUGCGGUAAAAGCACCACCGUUCUGGGGCGUCGUCGAAGUCUCCGGGUUCCGAUUCGCCGAGUUCGACCCCACGCUCUUCCCAAGCUCCACCCCUUCAUUCUCAACCACUGCCAUAGCUCUUUCUCUCUCUCUCUCUUCCCUUUUCCGAAAAAAGAGUUCCUUUUCGGAUUGGAUUUGGGAUCCAACCUCUCUUCUCUGUUGUGAAGAUCGGGGGAGGUGUUGACGGGAUCCAUGCUGUGGACAAUGAGGGGACUUGAAGUAGAUGUUGAAGUAGAUGGUGAAGAUGCUGUUUAGCGGUAGUUUCUGUAGACGGGACUGUACAUGCAACUCUCGGCAUGCUUCACAAGAUUCUCAGGACGAGGGAGACGCGUAGCCACGCCAAGGUCAUAUGCCUUGGCAGCUACAUUAGCAGCUACUUGGGCAGAAAUCUUUUUCUGAUGUUCGACAAUGGUGGAUAGAUCAGCCCCUGUGCAAAAUUCUCCUCGAAAACUUGCCCCGCCAAGGCUUCCGAGGCUGCCAGAAGCAUGUCAUCGUGAACACGGAUUGCUCCAGAGAUAACCAAACCCAGACCAAAUCCAGGAAAAAUGUAUGCAUUGUUGGACUGGCCAGGAACAAAAACUUUGUCCUUGUACUCAACAGGAUCAAAUGGGCUUCCGCUGGCAAAAAUUGCGCGCGACCCACACUGUAAGUAUAAGCUUCUUCAGCGGUACAUUCAGAUUGUGAUGUUGGGUUGGAAAGAGCCAAAAUGAGAGGUUUCUCAUUGAAGGACGAUACUGCUUCAAUCACCUCCUUUGUAAAUGUUCUUCCAACACCAGAUGAUCCAAUAAGAACUGUUGGUUUAAUUGCCUUGACCGCAUCCAAAAGAUUAUCAACAGGCUCAUGCUCAUGAGCCCAAGGCUGCGUAAAAUGUUGAAGAGAAUCUUUACGAGAGAUAACAAUCAAUCCUUUUGAAUCAACAAGUCAGAUCUUCUUACGGGUUUCUCCCACAGGAACUUUUGUCCUUUUCGAGAUCUCAAGAGCUAUUAGUUCUGCUAUACCGGUACCAGCUUCUCCAGCGCCAAGGAACAAAAACCUAUGCUCAGACAGGGAACCACCGAUUAACUUCAGUGCUGCCACAACUCCUGCAAGAACUACAGAUGCCGUCCCCUGUAUGUCAUCAUUGAAGACGAGAUGAGAUGCUCUAUAUUUGGCCAGCAGCUCGAAAGCAUUGUGGUUUGCAAAAUCUUCGAACUGUACAAUAACUUUUUUCACCAUAGUUCUGCUUGGGACUUCUUCAACCUUUUGCAGUUUUUGGCGAGCGACGUCAUCCCAGCAUCGGUCAACUCACGGCAUGCGCGGAUCUUCAGGCGCGUGAGGUUACGGCAUCGCAGAAAUGAGGACGAGCGCCUCGUCGCCGACGCUGACGGAUCUGCGGUCGCAUUUGAGGGCGAGCUUGGUGACGGCGCGGUGGAGCGAAUUGAUGGCGGUGAGCCGAGCGGAGUCAUCGUCGUCGGAGUUAGAGGAUGGGACGGAGGCGGAGGCGGAGGCGGAAUCGUCCUUGGGGAUGGCGACGGAGAGAAACGCCGCGAGUUGCUGCUGUUGGUGAUGGAGUCCUUGCAUCGUUAUCUUGCUGCUGACGCUGCUUCUGCACUAGAAGCAUCUCUCAUUCUCUCACUCAACUGAGUCGGCUCUGGAACUCUGACUCGGGUUUUCUGAUUGGUUUAUCCGCAGCUGCGGUUGCUCUGCGCUGUCUCUGUGUCUCUGGACUCAACCUGAUCCGUCUUCUGCAGGUGGUGGGACUGGGCCUGUGAAUUGAGCUUUCUGCUGCUGGGCCGAGACACAAGUGAGGAUGGGCCUGUCAUUCUGGCUGCUCUUUUCUGUGGACUUCAACUUGUGUUUAUUUGAUUUGGCACGGGUCUUAAGUGUAGGAAGACCCACAUUAAUAUGUAUACAUUUUUUUUAUUUUUUAUUUUUAUUAAUACAUAAAACAUAUGUAUUUUUUUUUCUCUUUUUUUUUAAAUACAUAAAACAUGUAUCUUUUUUUUUUUUUUUUUUUUUUUUUUUUUUUUUUUUUUUUUUUGCAUUUGUAAAAACAUAAUAACAUAUGUAUUCAUUUUUUUUCUUUUUUUUUAAAAUAAAAUUGACUUUAUUUAAUAAAACAUUUUUUUUUUUGAUGUGACUGAACUCGAAAUUUUGAAUAUUCAAGCUGCCUACGUACCCCUCCAAAGAAGAGAUCAAGUCGUAACGUAGUUCAAAUACAUAUUUUUUUGGAUUUUUUUUUUUGUGCCGUUUGCAGUUUCAGCUCAUGCAGGCAAGGAGUGUUGGUGUCGUUUGCAGUUUCAACUCAUGCAGACAAUGAGCAUUUGGUGCCGUGUUGCAGUUUUCAAGGAGCGUUUUUGCCUCAUGGUCGUGCAGACCAGGAGCUUUGGUGUUGCCUUUUAUGCUCGUGCAGACCAUGAGCGUUGUGCCAUGCAGUUUAGGCUCAUGCAGGCGAGGAGCUUCGUGUCCUACAGUUUAGGCUCGUGCGGACAAGGAGCUUUGGUUCAUGCAGUUUAGGCUCGUGCGAACAAGGAGCACUGUGAAUUUGUCAAACGAUCCGGGAUAGUUGUUCCUCGCAAUUUUCAUAGCAAGGAGUCUUGACCGAGUGAUUGAAGAAGUCUUCAGGAAAGAAAUCACGCAUCGUGAUGGGGAUGGAUGAUCUAUGUGUUGCAAUUUCAUCAUCUUCAACACGUUCACGUUGCUUUGAAGAUUGACAAGAGCUGCUUUGCCCCCUUUCUGAUUGGCGGACUUGUGGAGGAGACGUAUGUUUCUUGUGCAAUUUCUUAGGAGUGACUUGAGUCAAUCCUUCAACUUUGCUUGUCUUGGAGGAUGCCCCCAGCGGUUGAGGUGAAAACUUUGAGUCGGAAGGGCCAGAAGUGAAGGUGGUAUAGUUUGACUUCGCCACUUCGUCAAGAUCUAGCUCGAUGAUUCCUUUCUGAGCCAGCUUUAUGAUGAGAUCUUUCAGCACGAAACAUUUUUCUGUCGGAUGACUGAUGAAGCGGUGGAAUUUACAGUAUCUUGGACUGUCGGUACGAUUCAUCUCUUCCGGCCGUCUGCACUCAGGCAAACUGAUCACCUUCUUGUCCAACAGGUCAUCUAGCAUGGCAACCACAUCAGAGUCGGGGAAUGGAUUAAGUCUUCUCCUCAAGCUCCUUCAAAGUGCGUCUACGUGUCUCUUGAUCACGAAAAGCUUCGGUUUGAAUCGCCUUGCCUCGUGUGGAUAUUUUGACGGGAGAUGUGUUUGACCGUCAUCGCUUCCUUGGUGGGUUUUCCAUGCAGCCUUUUCCACCUUUGUCCCAAGAACUUUGUCGUUCUUGUAGUCGGCGAUCGGUUCUUUCUUCCCAUGAUGGGCGAUGCUCAACUCCAUGUCAUGGGCGCGAGUGGCCAAUUCCUCGAAGGUCCGUGGUUUAAUGCCUUGAAAUGUAUUGAUGUAUUGCAAACCCCAUUGCAUGCCUUGGAUGCACAUCUCGAUUGAAGAGGUUUCUGAGAGCUUGUCUUUACAGUCGAGGCUUAGAGUGCGCCAUCUGUUGAUGUAGUCAAUGACUGGCUCGUCCUUCCACUGCUUUGUGCUCGUUAGUUCUAGCAUGCUCACAGUGCGGCGGGUGCUGUAGAAGCGGUUGAGGAAUUCCCUUUCCAACUGUUCCACAGCCAGCUGUUGAUGGACUCAGGCUCUAGGUCCGUGUACCACUCACUCAAAGGCGUUUUCCUUUCAGCGAGCGCACAAACUGCUUGGCUUGGCGAGGUAAUCUCCCUCCGUCCCCGCAUUGUUGCAAGUUUCGACGAAAUGUGCAAUGUGCUGCUUUUUUGGGUUUCCUUUUCCAUCAAACUGCAUGAACUUUGGUGGUUGAUAUCCCUCGGCAUCUUUAGGGCAUCAUCAAUCUUCUUGGAAUAGGGCUUCGAGUAGAACAAGGAGGUAUGUGAGCUCUCCCUUCGUACUGUGCCUUGAUGGUAUUGGUGAUCAUCUCCUGCAGCUGCUGGAUAGAAAGAGAUGCCAUGAGUGCCGCUGCUGCUUGGUCUGGCUCCGGCUUCGCAUCGUUUUUCUCCACCUGAGGCUCUUCUUCUUCAUCAUCUCUUCUCUUUAGUGGAUCAUUCUCUGGGUCUGGGUGGGUUUAUCGCCGUCCUGCGCCUCUAGUCGAUUGACGAGUGCUGGCAAUUUGCAAGUCUUUUCUCCACAGUUCGGGUUAGCCUUGCGAUUGCUUCAUUCAUCUGAGCCAGCUGCUCAUCGAUUGAAGUUGCUCCAAUGGUCAUGACUUGCAUGGCUGCACUGCCGCUUGAAUCGCAUCGGAGAGCAUGGAUAUUCGGAGUAUUUCCUUGGGCUUCCCCCUUUGGUGCCCUUAGUGAGGCUAAGGUGAUCAAAGGCUCGUGCCUUGGGUGCUUUUGUUCCCUUGGCAGAGUUGAUGCAGAGAGGUGAAGAGAGGCGGCAGAAGUAGCUCUUGCCAUGCUUUCGAGUCGUGAUGCCCAAAGUGACACCAGUUGCGACGAGGACGCUCUUGUUCUUUGCGCCGGUUGCGGGAACAGAUUGAGCCUUCCUUGAUGCCAUUAAUUUUGGAAGUGCGCUUGAAUUUCUUGAACGGAGAAAGAGAUGAGAGGCAGAGACAGUCCCACUGGGCGUGCCAAUUUGUGAACACGGAAAAUUCCUGAAACGAAAGAGACAAGAACAACGUGCACAAACAAAUAUUUGUAUUUUUGAUGAUUUUGGGUUACAAUCUCUCUCUAUUUUGAUCCUCUGAUUCGAUCUCCGUAAGGUGUUGAUUUGUGGGAUGUGCAAUUGAUCCAAGGGCCGUUGAGGCUUGAUCUUGGAUGAACGAGGAUGAACGGGAUCUUCAAGGGCUUUUGGGUUUUGGGCUUGAUCUUGAAGAAUGGUGAUUGACGGAUCUUCAAGGGCUUUUAGGCUUGAUCUCGAAGAACAGUGAUGAACGGAUUUCCGAUGGCUUUUGGGCUUGAACUCGAAGAACAGUGACGAACGGAUCUUCGAGAGCUUUUGAGCUUGAACGGAUCUUCGAGGGCUUUUGGGCUUGAUCUCGAAGAACAGUGAUGAACGAUGAAACGCUUUCUUCAAGGCCGUCGGGGGCUUGGGCUUGAUGAACAGCGGAUGAGUGGAUUUGGUUGGUGUUUGUCGAUCCAAAGGGGCCGUUGGGGGCUUGAUCCUUGAGGAUGAACAGUUGAUGAACGAUGAACGCUUUCUUCAAGGGGCCGUUGGGCUUGGGCUUGAAGGUGGAUGAUUGUUGAUCCAAGGGCCGUCGGGCUUGAUCUUGGAAGAACGAUGAACGAAGAACGCUUUCUUGAUUCUUCGGGAACCUGGAUGCUUGAGAGCUUCGGAGUUUCAGAGCUUCAGAGCUUCAAGAGUUUUGCCUAAUGAUUUUUGGUUCUUCAAAUGAAUGAAAUGGGCUUGUAUUUAUAGAAUUUUCCAAGGCCUAAUUUUGAAUAUAAUAUCCCAGAUGAAAUAAGUCGUUUCUGCCAGGUGUUGACACGUGUCUUAUUUGAUGACUUUUCCAACUCAUUUCAAUUUUCGUUGAGUCACAUGCUACGUGUAAAAUUUAUGCAAUACAUGAGCGUUGACACUUUGAUUUAUCGGUCAACAUUUAUUUACCGAAAUUUCGAUGUCUACAGUUCCUACAUAAAACAAUGCAACGUCUGAAUGUUUUUCAGUCACGACCUGUGCAAGAAGAUACUUUGAUGGAAACAGUUUAUGAAUAUAGAUGCCCAUUGCCCCAUUCAAUCAUCCAAUUCAUCCCUAAAAUUCUGCCAAGGAUUUUGUCAACAAUGUCCUUAUCGUAUUUUCUUUUCAUAAAACAAGGCUUAAUCAGAUACAUGAUUUCUAUGGUAAUAGAGUAUUCGAAAGAUAGCUCAUAUAGUGAAGAAAAGAAAAGUAAUAAUUGAACCCUGGUGAUUAGAGAUAUAAAGGAUUAGGAUAGGCCCUUCCCCCGAGCCUUAAAACAAUAGGCCUUCCUUCCCAUUUUAGCUCACCGAUUCAUCCAGAACCAAUUUCAUGUAAUUUGGCUUUGUUUUUCUUACAACUUGAAUUGUUUGAGUCAUUUCAUUAAUUGGGUUUUUAUUGUUUCUUUGUUUUGGGUUUUAAUGAGUUCAGUUGGAAGAAUCCCCACCGAAUUAUGUUUGGGUUUUGAACUCAAAUUUCUCUUGCCCAAAAAUAAAUCAAAGAAAUAUAAACAGAAGAAAGCAUCAGAGAGACAAAAUUUGCAGUCAAAAUCGUUCUACACGCCUACAAAUCUGUGAGAGUUGAGAUGUGGGUUAUCAGUGGAGGCUGUUGAUGCACAAAAUCAGUGAGGACUUUAGUACAACAGAAAGUGUCAAGUUUGUGACCUUCGCUAGAUUGCUCCGGUCAUUAGUGUGGAUAAGUAUGUAAAUGGAUAGAUACAGGGAAGCAAGCACAAGAUGUACGUGGUUCAUCCAGAUUGGCUACGUCCACGGAGUAGAAGAGUUCUCAUUAAUUGUGAAGGGUUUACACAAGUACAUAGGUUCAAACUCUCCUUUAGUGAGUACUAGUGAAUGAUUUAGUACAAAUGACAUUGGAGAUUAUUGUGGGAGAAUGAUCUCCUUUUAUAGAAGAGAGUUUCUAGCUUUGUUCUGGCCUUGACAUGUGUCAUGCUGUGAUUGGCCUCUUGGUGUUGACACGUGUUGCGCUGUGAUUGGCCUCCUGGUUGGAGGGAAACUCUUAUGUGUCAUUGACGAUAUAACGUUGACUGAUGCUUGGUAGUUUCGGGAUUGAUCAAGUAUGGUACAAACAGAGGCGAAAUGAGAGUUCUCCAAUUUGCCAAUGUGAAAGAGAAAGACAUGGAAUGGGUUAACAAAUGAAAGGUGACUAAUUUAACUUUGCAUGUGAGACUCACGGGCAGCAUAUUAACGAUACUUAAAAUAAUUUUUAACUUGGGGUUAAAUUUCUAACAGUCCUCACCACAAGGGUUUAUUUCUUAAUUUGUUUACUACAGGGGAUAUUUUCCGAAUACUAUAUCAUUACGGGGACCAUUUAUCCGAUUUAGCUUGCCAAACAAAGAAAAAGCAAUUAACGUCAAACAUCAAUUGUGCUUCAAGUGAUAUGAAUUAUUUUUUUAUUUUUUUCAUACGUAUGGCAAAGUCUUGCAUUGUAUAUUAGUCUAGGUACCAUAGUGUAGGUAUAAUAUUUUCUUAUUAAGUGCAUUAGUUUAGGUAUAUUACAUGUUUAGAGGCAAUGGAUUAGUCUAGGUAUAAUAGUGUAGGUACAAUCACACUUCUGUAUAAUUUUCCCAAUGAUUGAAAUAUAAUAUGUUUUUACAUGGAUUGACAAAGAUGAAUAUAAAAUGGUUUAAAUUUGGAAGGAGGAUCAAAGUAGUUUAGUUGAUGCUCAAAUAUGCAAAGUUCAAUCUAUUUAAAAUAAUAAGAAAUCAAGCUAUAAAUUAUUAUAUAUCCUAAAACUCAGUUGAGUUUUAGCACCCUUCAAAAAUAGUAUAAGGGCGGAAAUACGCUUGAUUUGUUUGGAGUUUAGGUGCUGCUGAAUUGCUCUUGUACAAUUAAGUGUCAUUUUUGCCCCCACUAGAUGGGCUGUCUUCAGCUUUCCGAAAAGUCCUACGCCGUUCUCAUCAAAUUUCCACCUAGAUCAAACUGCUCUCUCAUUUUUCAUCUCUCUCUCAAAUUAUCUGUGCGAAAUCAGCGAGCCUGUUUUUGGUUGCUACAAAUUUAUUGCGUUCAAAAACCCUCAAUCGCUACCAAUUUAGUUCCUUUUUUGGAUUUAUCAGAAUCAAUUUUUUGAGUCAGAGGUCUACAGUUACUGGGUGAGUUUUUUUUACUUCUUUGGUAUCGUUGUUUUAAAGUUUUCUUGGUGGUUUUCGAUGUUCAGAUGCUUUUUGCAUAUGAAUUUUGGAUGGUUUUGUAUAUGAAUUUUGUUUUUAUAAUAUUAGGUAUUUUGUUUCUAUCCUUAGAUUUUAAUAUUUUUUGGGGUAAAAUAUUUAAUUACAUCAUGUUAUGGGUUUUUAUGGGUUCAAUUGGCAGUUCUGAUUUUCCUUUGGUUUUAAUCUUCUCUUGCUUCUCUCAGGUGUAUCUCUGGAAUUAUCCUUUGGUUUCCAUCACCAUCACCCAACCAAUCCAUCAUACUCAUCAUUACACCCCACUAAUUGCUCUCUCACUCUCUCCCACCCCUCAUUUACUCUCUCAUUACACUCAAAUUUUGGAUUUUUCAAGAAAGGCAGUCUGAUUUGGAGAAGACUUCUCAAGCGGUUAUAAUUUCAUGGUAGGUUGGUUUAAGGCAGUUCCAAAAUUUAGGAUCGUUUGGGAUAUUUUUAGUUUUUUUUUUCUAAUUCUUGAAAACCCAUGGUUAAGAGUAAAUUUAUUAUAUUUUAAUUUUUAUUGAAUUCAGGUAACCAUCGUCAGUUUUUCGGUUUGAUUUAAAGGAAUUUUUAGUUAGAAAAGCUAGGGCUUUGCAGUUAGUUCUUCGGGUUGUACCUCCGGGUGGUUUAAAUUUGUUUAAAUUUGAGUUUUUGUGAUUUGGGAUUUAUAAAUGGAUUGAAAUUUACGUUUUUUUUUAUUUCAAUUCCCACUCAGAAGUUUGUACUCCCUCAUCAUUAGAAUUGUUUCCUUCUGCUCUUCUUCUCGAAACAAGGUCACAGAUCCACAUGCCAUCAAGGUAUGUUGUUUAAUUAUAUAUUGUACAUGUAUUUAUUGUAUUGUGCAUGUGUGUGAAUGUGUUUUUCUCUGUUAAUCUGUAUUGGUUUUCUAUUCUGAUUUAGUUAAUCGGGUUUGUUUUUAUUUCAGUUGUUUGGUUCAUGCUAAAGUUAUUGAACGGUAGAACACCGGAACCAGUGAUCUUUCAAAAGGGUUGGUUCUUCUAUAUAUUUUUAUCCUUUUGGUCGUUUUGAAUGGACUUCCUGUAUUCUAAAUGAAGCUAAAUUGAAUAGUUGUUUUUGUAUAUUGUAUUUGCUUUGUUAAAUUAGUUCUUUUUUGUUGAAAAAUGUUAUUUAGUUUUGCAGAUCAAAGUUUUUCAGCAAGAAAAAUAUUUGGCAAAUUAAAUUUAGAUAUGAAUACUUACAUUUAUUUAGCAUUUUCCAUUCGUCUUUACUUUUAGUGCAUUGUGGUUGUAAAUGUCAUUUAGUGCAUUGUGGUCUUAAUUUAAUUGCGUGGUUGGUUUCAGGAUUUCUUGAGUCGAAUAACAGCUUGGGUGAUCAAAAGGUAAAAAAGUAGUUGGUCUCUGCUUGCAAGAUGACUUCUUUCUGUUGCCAAAAUUAGACUAACCGUAAUCAACCCAAUUAAGUCCAAAUUUUAAUGCUCGCAAGUGUACGAAUCUUUAAGUAUAGUAGGCAAGCACAAGAUCGUUCCAACUAAGAUUGAAAUAAUUUUAAUUAUCUAACUUAAUUUGUAUUGCACUUGAAUUGAAAUGGAAAAAUUAAUGAUUUGAGAAAGAACUUCGAAAUUGUAAAUGUAAACAAAAAUCAAAUGAGCUUAAAUAAAUGACAAGAACAACAAAGAAAUCAAAUUAUAAAUCAAUUUCGAAAAGCACUAGAGCAUCCGAUUCACCAUAACCAAUCCAACUCAAUUCCUAUAGUUAAUUAUUAAUGAGUAAUCAUCCAAAUUGACGGACUAGUUUCUCUAACUCAUAUAGUAUCCAUGGCAUCUAGAUUACUAUGUAUACUCAUAUGUGCUAAUAGUCUAUGGCAUCUAGAUUACUAAACACACACAAGUUCAUUAACGAUUUGAGAACUACUUAAGAGCCUGCAUGAAACCUAGUGUAUGGCAUCUACAUCAAGGAAUUCAUGGUACCAUUUGCAAGACGCUAAAACCGAAUUAACAACAUGCCAUCUGUGUUAACUCGCAUCAAAUACACUCAACUCAAAUAAAAGUGGUGGCCAAUCACCAAGAUUAAAAUCAAGCUCAUAAGCACAGCAAAAUGAUACUUAACUUGAAUAAAAAUUCAUAAAUAGUUAAACUGAGAAAUUAUGAAUUCAUAAUUAGGCUACAUCGUAGCCCUAGCGAAAAGAAAUUAGUUCCGGAACAUAAUUAGAAAAAUGAUUGAAUUCAUAAAAUUAAAAGAAAAAUAAGUUUAGAAAAGCCUGAAAAUCCCUUUGCUUGCCGCUGUCUUCUUCUCAUUUUCUUCUCUUGUUAUCUGCUUCCCUUUUUAAAAUUGAUCAGUUCUCUUUUUCUUCUUUUUGCUCUUCUGUUUUCAUUUCCCUUUUUCGUAACCGACAACGGCUUAAAAGCCCAUUUAUUGAAAACAUUAGAAGAAAAGAAACGGAAGAAACCUUUUAACUCCUUGCUAGACACUUCGUGUGUUUAGACACCUUGAUCAAAGCUUGAAAGACUAGAACGCCUAAAUCACACUCAAGUUGGUCUACUUGCUGCAACGAGGCCUCCACAUUGUCCUUUUCUACCCUGCUAGAUUCCAGCUGGAAAUUUCAUCUCCAAAGUGAUAUAUCAACCAAAUUUGAAAGUACCCAAAUCUCCAUUGCAAUUGAUGAGAAUUAAAGAUAAAAAAUGCCCAAUUCAUGCUUCCACCGCAAAUCAACAAACUGGAGAGUGGAAUAGAAAUAUGGAUUUUCAUUCUUCUUCAAUUUUGAUAAGCUGCAGUGCGCCGGCUUGCUCCUGGAAAUUGGGAGAGAAAAACAACCCUUUUCUUCUGUCGGUGCAAAUAUGAGGAUAAAAGCAUUUGUUUUGUUGAAGCGGUCACGUGAUUGUCAUCCUUUUAGUGUGCAAUAAGGAACCUGCUUAAAAAUUGAUUAAUAGGAAAUGAGUCUUCAGGGGGACCCAACUGGGAUAAGUCAAAGUAGACUAAUAAAUGGUAAAUACAAAUAGUCGUCUAAACACCAUUUUACCAAACAUAAUUAAACACCACCAGACUAAAAUGAAAAUCAUAGAAACAUAGCAUAAUUUUCCAUAUCAUUAAUCUAAUCUUAAAAACACCAAAACAUGUCAUUUCUUUCAUUUAAAUCCGAAAUUGUAGUUUUCAGAGUACAAUAAAUGAUAAAAUAUGCGCUCAUCACUUUCCAUGCACGUCCUCCCUCUAAGUCAACUGAGGAUUCAAAUCCAGCGGAUCCAGCUCGAGAUAUAGAUAGCACAAUUCCAACUCUUAAAAAGGUAUAAUUUGUUAAUUUUUUAGUGAUGUGUUUUUAAUGGAAUUGAAGAUUUGGGUAGUGAGUUUUUACAAUGGUGUUAAUUUUUUUAACAAUUUAUAAUGCUAUUUGUAAAAUUUAGUCAGGUUUUUUUUAACAACUAUAAUAUCGUUUGAUUUCAAUUUGUAAUUACUUCUUUUGAUACAUUUAAGCUUAGUUAUGUUAGUAAAUCUUUAUAUCUUAUGUCCAAAUACAUGUACAAUAUAGUAUUUGAUACAUAUGCAGUAGUGUAUAUGUAAAGUUUUUAUAUUGUUGCUGACCAUUUUCAAUGUAAGCAUUUUGUAUGUAGAGUGUGAAAAAUGCCUUCUUCACAAAGGCAAAAUAGAGAACAGAUUCUACUUCAUAUGAAAAUAAGAGGUUAGUUUGAUUGUCAUUGCUUUUUUUUUAUAUGGUUAAAUUCUAAGUUACUUGGCUUACGUGUAAUUUAAUCGCUUGCUUGCCCAAGUUGAAGUCAUUCGUUUUAUUAAUGCUAGUGACCAAAAUCAACCUGAGUUAAUGUUAUAACAAUAUCAUAAUUUUCAUUAGUCUUUGAUUGCCUUAACCCUUUUCUUUUCCGUCUUUACCAAAAUUUCAUGAAAUUUUUGCACAAUUUUUUUUUAUAGAAAUUAAGUUUAUUCACUAUUUUACUGUCUCUUGGUAGAUUUUUUUUUAUUUGUUGUUCAAAAUUAGUAUUGCAAAUUUUAAGUGGUCGAACAUACCCUUUUCAGAUUAGCAUCUAAUAUCUUCUUUAACACAAUUUUUUAUAUUAUAUUAUCAAAAGAUCGUUGUUUUGUAAUUUCAGAACAAUGUGUUGAUGGAACACAAAAAGGAGGAGUCCUUCAACAUGGAACAUGAAGAUGUAAUUAAAGUUUCUACAUAAGCUACUAUAUACUUAAUUAACAAUGACAAUGAUGAAUCUCUUCGCAUUGCAAAGCUCAUCCUCUCCAUUAGCAAUCCUAGACAGUUCGAGGUAACAUCCUCAAUCCAUUUAAUCAAUUUUAUUUGUUUGAGCUAUUAAUUAUCGCACAAACCCAAUUAAAUUUUAAUACAAAAAUUUGAAUUUUGUCUUAAUUUUAAUAGUUGGAGUUAGUAAUAUAUAUCAUUGAUUUAACAUUGUACAGCUAUUCUUCCAUGCUGGUUCCGCAAAUCCAUGUACUCCGACACCUAUAUGUUAGUUAUUGUAAAUAUCUUUGUAAAUAUAUUUCCACUUGAAUAUAAAUAGUGUUGUAUAUUGUACGUAUUUAGAACUCUCUGCAUGUUUUAGUUUUAAAACCCACAGCAACGCGCGGGCACCAUUGCUAGUGAGAUUCUAAAAGUACAAUUUACUUGCAUUUAGUACUAUAGUCUAGUGGUAUUUCUAUUCACUUGUAAGUGAGAGAUCUUAAGUUCGAUUCCAGUCAAAUGCGAAUUUGAACCAUAUUAUUGCUAGCCCGUUGUGAGGUUAAACCAACCCCCUCCUCUUAGUGUAGAUAAUAUCGUUUGUGAAAAAAAUAAAAUAAAAUAAGGUUUAGAUUACAUGCCAACAACAUUGCACAGGAAAUUAAAGAAAAGUAUAACGUUUAUUCUCAAUGAAAAUAACAAUGAUAUGAAUGCUAACAUAAAUACAGGGUUAAAAUACUAAACAUUCUUGAAGUUGGAGUUUAUUACCGAAUCCGGAACACAUACAUUAUACAUGCCUUAGGCCCAAAAACAUAAAGAGUGCAGAAAUCCUUUAUCAUUAUUCUUUAAACAAAUCCUAAAAACUUCCUCAAAAGUGACAGAAGCAAAUAUCAACGCAAAAUGAGUAAACAGUUUAAGACGAACUGAAAGACCAAUGUUUGCUUUUUUGUUUGAUCAAAAAUAUUCCAGCUCCGUAAGUAGAAAUGAAGAUCUCAACAAGAAGGGAAAAUUGCAUCCAUACAAAGGAGACAACCGGAACACUAGCAAGUAAAAUCAUUGGAUACACCAUCCACUUUUUUGCUUCCAGCAUAAGAAAAAGGGUUGAAGAAAACGCGAUCAUCAUGGCAACGAUAGAGGAGAAGAGGGUGAAAAGGCCUAUCAUCAUUUUUGUUGGUAGUGAUUUAAGAAAAUCAUUUUCAGCAUAACGCGAGUUAAGAAUUCCUAAAAAUGUCAGGACUGAAGUUGUGGAAGAAAAAAGUGAAAAGACAUCCGCAACUAUAAAGACCAUAAAUAUCCUUUUAUUUAGGAAGACUGGAAAGCCUGCUUUGCUCCCACCAGGAACUGAGAAUACUGCAAUAAACAUGAUUGUAACAAUAAGAGCAGCUACAACCGUACAAGAAGUUGCAGUUGCUUUCAUUGAUCUUUCACCUUCUUUUGCCAAUUCCUUGUGGUUCUUAGUAAAUAGAUCGCGGGCGGUCAUACCAUCUGGAUGGUUAACAACUUCAAGAAACUUGGAAGGUACAAUUUUCUCCACCUCCUGCAUUUCAGUGAAUAGAAGAAACUUAAAUUUUCUUUAAUUUAUUUUCUUCGAAGGCACUCAAAUCUAACCCCAAGUAAUUAAUACUUUCGUACUCUUACAAAUCCCUGAUGUAUGCCCUUUGACCUUGAAUGUAUAUGCUCAAAUCUAAUCCCAAAUAACCUAACAUUCUGAGUUUGUAACAGUAAUCAAAAUUUCAUUUUUGUGAUUUCAUUUUUAAUUUGGUUGUUUCCUAUUUGAGGUGCAAAUUGCUGUCACAAAUAAUCAAGUUUUAUUUGGUAUAGUUUCCAAAUAAUCAAAAGUAAUAUACCGAUUGACCACGUGGCUAGAACUUUAUACAGUAAAACCUAUUAAUUUAUAGACCUUGUGGAUUGCUUUGGUGAUAAACUCUUUAUUUUUUUUACUUAAAUCUAAACCCUCAUUCAUUUAGUCUAGCUUAAAAUAGUAAUAUUGUUUAUAAAAUUUUUGUUCCAAUUUCGGCCAAUUGUAGUCUAAACUUCGACCCCUAUUUCUUUCUUUCUUCAAAAAAGAUAAAAUGAAUCUAGCCAAAAAUAGACUCUUGCAGAAAAGAAUCAAAAUAAUAUGAUGUGCUCCUUUCGGCCAAUUGUAAAUAGAAAUUAUCUCCGUAGUCAUAAUUAGAUCUCAAACUCGCUAUCGAUGAGAAAAAAAAAAAUAUAUAUAUAUAUAUAGAGAGAGAGAGAGAGAGAGAGAGGAAGAAAUUCUAACCUUAAACCAUUGUAAUUCUCUUUGCAUUUGCAGUGCUGCACAUUGGAUAUGUUUAAGCUGUGCAGGUGGGGAUAACCUCGCUGCUGAAUGUAGUAAAGUAUUGUUGAACUUAUCUACUCUGGAUUCAGUACGAACAUUCAUGAUUUGGAUAAAUUCAUGAAAAAAGUUAUAGACUUUUUCUUGACGGCAUUCAAUGGAAAACUGAAACAUGCCCUUUGCAUUUUCGUCAUAUAUCCCUAAAGCUAGGAUAUUUGCUGUAAACAGCUGACGAAGAAACUCAUCAUUCCCAUAUUCAACAGCUUUGAAGAGUGCUGUUUGUACGGAACUUCCUUGCAUUUGUUUAAGGCUUACACCUUCUGUCAUUUUGCACAUGCCUUGUAAAACUUCAAGGGAUUGGACAUGGAUCUGUUUCAUUUUGUACAUGUGAUCGAUUCCUAGGUUGACAUAGAAAAAUAACUAAUCAUUAAGUUUCAAAAGUGUGACCAAAAGAAGUUCUAAGCGAUGACUGGAUAAAUGUUAAGAGUAAAAUUUGAAUGAAAAGAUUAACAAAGUGUUGACAAGAAGCAUUACCGAAAAGUUUCCGGAGAUUUGAGACAAGCCCUCGCGGUAAAGCCAUAACUACAUUGCAAAUACAAAAUGUUUUGCAUUAGCUAUUCAAAGAAUUUGUUAAUUAGGUAUGAUCUAUAACAAAGUAAAAGAUGCGCCUGAGGUCAUAACUCUCGUUUUACUAUAUAUGUGGAAAAAAAUGCGUAGUGCCAUUUUAUAUGGAUAUUGUAUACCUGAGCGAAUUAUGAGAUCCUUUUGAUCAUUAACCGGGUCAUUGGCUUGUUUUUGAACAUCUAUACGAACAUCACGGAUCUCAGAAGCAUGUCGUAUUUGUAUACCUAUAAAAAAAAUAAACACAUGCCUCUAGUCAAUAUAUAGAACAUUUUUUUAGUCGAGGGUCUGGACACAUUGAACAUUUUCUUUAAUAUUUAUGUCUGUGAAAAGAGAAGUUAAGGUGCAUACCCAAAAUAAAUGAUUAAUGGACACUGAUAACGACAGAAGUACACAUUAAAUUUUUUAACACUUAUUUUUAGACACUAAAAAAUAAACUCAAGAGGGAAAAUAACUUACACUAUAAUAUUUGAGCAAGACCUAAACUAGUGAAGAAAAGCAUAGUGUGGAUACAAAUUAAUCACGUCCAAUCAUAGUGUGUCAAGGGGAAUAUAAGCUCAAUUUGACGGAAUUACCUCCAAUAUCGUGAGAAACCACAAUCUCCACUCUAAGUGGGUUAAGCAGACCAACUCUCAAAGGACCGGCAAAUGCCCACAACUAUCAGGCCCUAACCCCCGAUUCUUGCCAAGCUAGCUAGCAAACAUUUUGUUUUUCUUCGAGGGACAUGGUUGUCGACCCCUUGCACCUCAACCCUAUAUAAAGUUGAGGUUCAAUCAUAAAAUUAACUGACAAUAUAGGGAGUAAUCCAACCCCUUAUAAGUCCUUGCAAGGUUUCUCUUUUCACCAAUGUGAGACUCUUUACCUUCACAUCAUCACACAGCCCCUUACGUGUGAUUAACUUUUGAACCAAAUACGUGGACAACACAAAUUGGGUGAUGUUGAGCACGUGUGACCAUUGAGCUUCAUAACCUACAAGUGUCUAAGCAGGCAAGGGAAGGGAGACUCGUUGACUAGCAUAAGCCCGCUACGGCCUAGUAGAUGAUUUAUGGACCUCUUCCACUAUAAAUAGUCAAGUCAUACAAGGAAACUGGUUUAUCACAAACUCUAUUUAGAAUUCUCUACUGAAUUUUAGUUUUUCUCAAAUACUCUUUGACUUAGACAUCGGAGACAGAAAUUUCCAUCCAGACAUAGAAUGCAUUUUAUUGUUUUAAUUUUUUCAUAUUAAGUAUAAUAUAUAUAUAUAUAUAUAUAUAUAUAUAUAUAUAUAUAUAUAUUUAGGUUUUAAGAUAAAUCAAAUUGCGGGAAUCGUGUGCAUGUCUCCUUGCAUGUAUAACAUAUAGGAAAUAUCUUAUCGAAAAACCGAACGACGCCCACCCAACUAGAGGGAAAGAGAAAUUAAUAAAGUAUAAAAUUCAUCAUAGAAUAAAAAAUGUAGUUACUAACGAUUAUAGAUCCAUUGUUGCCAGAAUCUGAGACGUGUUCCACUUAAAAAGAGAGAGGGCAUACAAGCCAAUUCCUCUAAAAGUGUUUUCCCAGUAGAGUUUGUGGCAAAGGCCAAGUUUGGACAACGCUGAAUUAGAUCCAAUGCAAUAUCUACAAUAGGGAAAAAAAAAAAGAAGAAUUAUAUACAUGGAAAAAAAGAAAGUAAUCAAUAUUUGUUAGGGAACAUGCUAUUUAAACACAUUCUCAAAUACAUGUGAGUUCUAUAAAUAAUGAAACGGUCCACCUUAGUUAUAGUGUGUCAGAAAAUCUGUGCGAAUAUUGUAUCUAAAACAUUUAUGUACCCAGUUCUUUGGAGCUAAAACAGUGGGAAAUAAGAUCAGCACCAGUCCGACAGUUAUCUUGGGUCGACGUCAAAGCUUCCAAUGGAGUAACUGAAUAGAGAUAGCGAGCCAAUCCCCAGUGGCCGCCAUGACAAGCCAUGAUCAGUGGGAUCAUAUUCUGGAGAUUGCAUGGUAUGCAAAGUAAUCUCUUGUUUUUUUCGAUUAUGCAUCUAGCCACUUCGAGUCCUAUUAGCGUAGCUAAAGCUAUAGCUGUGACACCAUUAGCGUCUUCUAUUUCCAAGUCUUCCUUUGUCAUCCACCCCACUACUUCUUUCGCCAUAUAUUCGUUUCCCAUUGAAACUGCCAUGUGAAGAGCUGUCAAGCCUGAUAAUGAACCUCUUUCUCUGAUUGCGUCGGGAUGCAUAGUAAGAUACUUCUUUGCAGAACUCCAGUCACCUUUUGCAACAGCAUCAAUCAAGGGUUGAUGGUGGGGGAAAUCGUUGAAGUCGCCAUUAGUUUUAGGGUUCUUUAGAUAUAAGUCCAUGCAACACUUAUUUCCUUGACAAAAACCCAUUUCAUUGUAAACAUCCAAUAAAACCCAAAUUUGAAGUAGACUGCCAGGUAAACAAAUAAAUACCUAUUAUUUUCAAACUAUUUACAAUUGUGCCACAACACUCUAAUUAUGUUAAUGAAUUUAAUUAUCCACCAUAAUUGUGAGAAAUAAGUGCCUUAUUAUUAUAAAAUUAUCUACUUUAUACUUCUCUUACCAUCAUAUAUUUCAUUUCUUUUAUUUGUUUGACAAUCAUUGUAGGUAAAUUAUUUUGCAUGUAUGUAUUAGACACAUUUUGUUAAAAUUAUAUAUAUGCAUACAAAUAAUUUAUCUAUAUUUUUAUGUAAAAUAAUAUGUAAUUAAUUAAUUUGAAUCAAUUGGCUACAAACAUUUAUUUAUUUUGUAGGUAAAUUAUUUUUCAUGUGAUAUUACAUAUGUACUAGCCACAUUUUGUUAUUUAUAUAGAGUGUGCAAUCAAUCGACAUUCUUUUAUUUUGUAGGUAAAUUAUUUUGCGUGUAGGUAAAUUGUUAUAUAUAUAUAUAUUUUUUUAUUUUUUUUUUUUGCAAAAUAUUGGUAUUUAAUUAAUUUUGAAUAAAAAUAUUUAUUUAUUUUGUAGGUAAAUUAUUUUGCAUAUAUGAUUACAUAAUUUACUAGGAACUUAUAUUGUUAUAUAUGUUGUGCAAAAUAAUUUACCUAUGUUACAUUUAAAAUAUUGAUAAUUUUGAAUACAUUAACUUUUUUAUAUUUGUAGGAUAUACUAAUUUACAUGUUAGCAUCAUGUGAAAACAACCAUAUAAGGAACAUUGGUAUCAUGUAAAUAUUUGAACAUUUAAUUGAAUGAAAUAAUGUACAAUAAAUGGAGUCAUGAUGGGUUUUAAUUAAAGAAAAUUGAGUUUCAAGGGGUGUAGUCAUAUUUUCAAUUAGUUUUAUAAUACUCUGUCAAGUAAUAUUAUUUAUUGUUUGUAAACUAAACGUCAAGAAUUUGGGGACAAAUCAUACAUAAUGUUGAAAUAAAAGAGAUCUGAUCAAAUACAAUUAAACAAAACAAUAGAGAUUCAUACAUGCUGCAGUAGAUAUCACAUAAUAUUACUACGUACGUACCCUCAUUCCGCGUCAGACCGGUAUUCAGCUCUUCAUGUGCCAUCAAAGGCACAUCCUCUGCAUCGAUCACUCACGGUGACUUUAUUAGAAGAAGAAAACUAAAUCUUAAUAGCUAUACUAUUGGAAUUUACUUGGAAAGGAGACAUGUAGUACGUGCGUACACAUACCUGUGUUUUCCAAGGCUUGAUCGGUCGGCUUCAACUUUUCAGCCAAAGUAUCCCAGGCGACUUUGGCCGAGCUAAUGCCCCGGAUAAUAAAAUGAGUAUCAUCUCCGCAACAAGUAUGGAUUGCAUGUAAAACCUUGGCGUUAUUCUUCCUCCAAACCAAAAAUUCCGCUUCACCAUCUUCUUGUCUAGGAGGUUCAGAGGUCUCUUCCACAACCUCCCAAAGAUCUUCAGCCAACAAGUAGGUUUUAAAGUGGAAACUCCAAUCUUCAUAAUUAUCAUGACUAAGAACCUUAAGAUUAGCAAUUACACUAGAAACAACUGUAGCUGCCAUGUUUAAU